rnacentral:misc_RNA from 1 species
CCUUCCCAGCUGGUCACUCCUCAGCUCCCACACCUGCUCCUCAGUCUCUAUGGCACUUACAUUUGUGUGAAACUAACCUGUUCAAUGACUUUUGUUUCCCCUGGUAGCACAUGGGCUCCCCAAGAGCAGGGACCCUGCUCUGCUCACCACUAUGAAAGGGUUAGUCACUCAGUCGUGUCUGACUCUUUCCGACCCCGUGGACUGUAGCCCGCCAGGCUCCACUGUCCAUGGAAUUCUCCAGGCAAGAAUACUGGAGUGGGUUGCCAUGCCCUUCUCCAGGGGAUCUUCCCAAU